rnacentral:rRNA from 1 species
CAGUUAACCAAAACGCAGCAGCUAGUUUAACAAAACUAACAGCUCUUUCAAGAUUAUGUGGUAGGUGGUGCAUGGCCGUUCUUAGUUCGUGAAGUGAUUCGUUCGCCCAAUCGCAUUUCCAAACAACUAACAACUCAGAAUGCUGGGCAAUAGGACGUUUAAAGUGGCUCCUUACACCUUACAAAGGAAUGGCUGAUGAGAAACAACUCGAUCCGCUCAGCGUUCUAUUGGAAUGCAACGGACGUGAUUGCAAGCUUUUGUUUUGAGUUGCGGUUUUACUGAAAGACUCUACAAUCCGCAAACUUCAAUGAUCUGAAGUAGAAAACCUACAUGCUACAGUGAGAUAUUGUGGAUAAACUUAAGCGACCGCUCCAACAUUGUGUUUUUUUAAAACUGAUGAAGGUUGCGGCAAUAACAGGUCUGUGAUGC